rnacentral:rRNA from 1 species
CUACGGGAGGCAGCAGUGAGGAAUAUUGGUCAAUGGAGGCAACUCUGAACCAGCCAUGCCGCGUGAAGGAUGACGGCCCUAUGGGUUGUAAACUUCUUUUGAAUAGGAAGAAACUUAUCUACGUGUAGAUAACUGACGGUACUAUUAGAAUAAGGAUCGGCUAACUCCGUGCCAGCAGCCGCGGUAAUACGGAGGAUCCAAGCGUUAUCCGGAUUCAUUGGGUUUAAAGGGUCCGUAGGCGGGUCUUUAAGUCAGUGGUGAAAGCCGACAGCUCAACUGUCGAACUGCCAUUGAUACUGGAGACCUUGAGUACAAAUGAAGUAGGCGGAAUGAGUCAUGUAGCGGUGAAAUGCAUAGAUAUGACUCAGAACACCGAUUGCGAAGGCAGCUUACUAACAUGUAACUGACGCUGAGGGACGAAAGCGUGGGGAGCGAACAGGAUUAGAUACCCUGGUAGUCCACGCCGUAAACGAUCAUCACUCGCUGUUGGCGAUAUACUGUCAGCGGCCAAGCGAAAGUAUUAAGUGAUGCACCUGGGGAGUACGCCGGCAACGGUGAAACUCAAAG